GCCCGCAUAGCUCAGUAGGUAGAGCACUUCCAUGGUAAGGAAGGGGUCUCCGGUUCGAAUCCGGAUGUGGGCUCCA
rnacentral:tRNA from 1 species